UAACGCGUAGGAAUCUGCCUGAUAGUGGGGGAUAGCCCGAAGAAAUUCGGAUUAAUACCGCAUAAUCUAUUCGUAGUAAAGUGAGGGACUUUCGAGCCUCACGCUAUCAGAUGAGCCUGCGUAAGAUUAGCUUGUUGGUAGGGUAAAAGCCUACCAAGGCAACGAUCUUUAGCUGGUCUGAGAGGAUGAUCAGCCACAUCGGGACUGAGACACGGCCCGAACUCCUACGGGAGGCAGCAGUGGGGAAUAUUGGACAAUGGGGGCAACCCUGAUCCAGCAAUACCGCGUGUGUGAAGAAGGCCUGAGGGUUGUAAAGCACUUUCAAUUGUGAAGAAAAGUUAACGGUUAAUAACCGUUAACCUUGACGUUAACUUUAGAAGAAGCACCGGCUAACUCCGUGCCAGCAGCCGCGGUAAUACGGAGGGUGCAAGCGUUAAUCGGAAUUACUGGGCGUAAAGCGUGCGUAGGCGGUUUAUUAAGUCAGAUGUGAAAGCCCCGGGCUUAACCUGGGAACUGCAUUUGAAACUGGUCAACUAGAGUAUGGUAGAGGAAAGUG
rnacentral:rRNA from 1 species